CGACCGGCGCACGGGUGAGUAACACGUAUGCAACCUGGCCGCCACAGGGAGAUAACCCGCGGAAACGCGGCCUAAUACCCCGUGACGCCACCGGAGGGCAUCCUCCGGUGGCCAAAGGAGCGAUCCGGUGGCGGAUGGGCAUGCGGCGCAUUAGCUAGACGGCGGGGUGACGGCCCACCGUGGCGACGAUGCGUAGGGGUUCUGAGAGGAAGGCCCCCCACACUGGGACUGAGACACGGCCCAGACUCCUACGGAAGGCAGCAG
rnacentral:rRNA from 1 species